CAAUGUUACAGCUCUCUUAGAAUUUGUCUGGCAGGUUUACUACCAGUUUUCCCUGGAAAGUCCCU
rnacentral:snRNA from 1 species